ACUUCCGGGGCAGCGCGGCAUGGCGGCGGGGAGGGCGGUGAGCGGGGCCGGGUGGAGCGGGGUUCUGUCCUGGGAACGGGGUCGGGCUUCAGUCCGGGGGCAUCGAGGGGCUCUCGGGAGAGGAGCUCGCGGUGCUGCCGGUCACCGAGAGGCAGGUCCCGGCUCGCAGGCGGGCUGCGUGGCCUCGCGAGAGCUGUGGGUGCCGGAGCGCAGGCCGGGGCGAGCGGGGCGGCUCCCAGGCGGCGCCGCUGCUGCCUUGGGCAGGGCGGUGGCAGCCCCGUGCUCCGUCGUGCGGCGGGAGCUCUCGUGUUUUGUCGCUCUUCGUUGGUGUCUGAAAGAGGACUCCCCGUUGGAAUUUGUACCGA